rfam:Brachyspira sp. CAG:700 genomic scaffold, scf152
GCGAGGGUGGUGGAAUUGGCAGACACGCUAGACUUAGGAUCUAGUGCCUAGGCAUGAGGGUUCAACCCCCUCCCCUCGUA